UACGUAGGGGGCUAGCGUUGUCCGGAUUUAUUGGGCGUAAAGAGCGCGUAGGCGGCCGAGUAAGUCCGACGUGAAAUCUGGAGGCUCAACCUCCAGCGGUCGUUGGAAACUACUCGGCUAGAGUCCGGAAGAGGAGAGUGGAAUUCCUGGUGUAGCGGUGAAAUGCGCAGAUAUCAGGAAGAACACCGAUGGCGAAAGCGGCUCUCUGGGACGGUACUGACGCUGAGGCGCGAAAGCGUGGGGAGCGAACAGG
rnacentral:rRNA from 1 species